rnacentral:lncRNA from 1 species
AUAUAGAGUGAAUCCUCAUAUAAUGGAAAUAAGGUCAUGAUAAAUGUUUGUUGGGUUUUUUUCCUAAAACUUGUUUCCUUUUGCACAAAAACAGGGAGAAGAUGGGGAAGUUGGACCAAGAGGUCUCCCAGGUGAAGCUGGUCCACGGGGAUUACUGGGCCCCAGAGGAACACCUGGGCCCCCUGGACAACCUGUACGUAUGAGCUGUUGAGUAUUUCCAGUUUCCAGAAGGAAAAAAGGAAGUCCACUGAAAAUUGCUCUUGUUAUAUCAUUUGUUGUAGGGCAUUGCAGGUAUUGAUGGACCUUCAGGCCCAAAGGGAAACAUGGUGAGUAAGUAAACUGGGAAUUAUAAAGAUUCUAAAAAUGCUUUCCACAUUCUCUCAUUCCUGCAACUAUGCCAUCCCUUCCAUGUAAUUAAACUUUUAUGUCAACUAUUUGGAUUCAUUAUGAUUUUAUAUGGAAAAGACAAGGCUUCUAUUACUUAGUUUUCAGCCAAAAGCCCUGACCAUGCUUUCUCUCAGACUCCUUUAGCACCAUGGACUCCAGUGCUCAGGUCCUAUGUGUGGGCUGUUAUUCUCUGCUAAAGAAAAGGUCAUGAUAUUCAUUAGCAUGGAAAAAUUUCAUACUGGAGAGAAAGUUGCUGGUAGACUUUAAAGAAAGAGGAACAAAGAUGAGUUUGUACUCCUUUUAGUCUUGACAAUGAAGAUCUGUAGUACAGAAAUGCAAACCUAAUGCCCUGCUAUUUUUUUGCAUGGUAGGGUCCUCAAGGGGAACCAGGACCUCCUGGUCAGCAAGGAAUUCCAGGCCCACAAGGGCUUCCUGGUCCUCAAGGUCCUAUUGGGCCUCCUGGUGAAAAAGGGCCACAAGGCAAGCCUGGCCUUCCUGGCCUUCCCGGUUCUGAUGGGCCUCCUGGUCACCCUGGGAAAGAGGGUCAGUCUGGGGAUAAAGGUGCAUUGGGGCCUCCAGGUCCUCAGGGUCCUAUUGGAUAUCCAGGUCCUCGUGGUGUAAAGGUAAGAUUUAAUUAUUGAAUUCCUC